rnacentral:rRNA from 1 species
CAUGCCAAUGGCACUGCCCGGUAGCUAAAUGCGGAAGAGAUAAGUGCUGAAAGCAUCUAAGCACGAAACUUGCCCCGAGAUGAGUUCUCCCUGACCCUUUAAGGGUCCUGAAGGAACGUUGAAGACGACGACGUUGAUAGGCCGGGUGUGUAAGCGCAGCGAUGCGUUGAGCUAACCGGUACUAAUGAACCGUGAGGCUUAACCUUACAACGCCGAAGGUGUUU